rnacentral:tRNA from 1 species
AAGGGAGACCUAAUUCAGGUAGGAGACGAAAAAAAAGUAGUCGCUACCAAGAAUCAAUCCCAAAAGGUCGGAGCGAGGCGAAAUUGGCUUUCAAACUAGGUUCUGGGUUCACACAAGACCUGAAUCAGGAACAAGGGCUAUUAGCUCAGGUGGUUAGAGCGCACCCCUGAUAAGGGUGAGGUCCCUGGUUCGAGUCCAGGAUGGCCCACCUGCACAGGUGGCAAAAACAAAGAAAAAAAGCUCCGAAUCAGCACCUUAUCUUACUUAUACAGUAAGAGAGAAUGCUGGCUCUGAGUUCAGAGUUCAGAGGAACCUUGAAAACUGCAUAGAGCUAGGUGAAAAAGCCAAAAAAGAAGACCGCAA